GCGGGGUCAGCCCUGGCGCUGAGGUGCGAGGGAGCCGGGAACUUCCAGUGCCUAGGCCGGGCGUGGGGACGCGGGCUGGUCGCCGUGCUGGGGCGGGGGUGACGGGUUCGAGGCUGGCCUAGGCUGCCGCUGACCGACCGGAACCCCGCCCGGCCCUUCCCGCGCUCGGGUCUGGGGCGCCCUCUUGUGUCGCUCAGUGCCACUUUCGAGAAGGUAAAACCGGAAUAGGAGCUGGAGAGACUGCCCAGAGGUUAGAGCAUCUGCUCGCCAGCGGACCCGGGUUCGAGUCCCCGCACCCACAUCGCAAGCACCCGUAACUCCAGUUCCAGGGGAUCCGGCGCCCUCUUCUGUCCUCCGUGGGCACUGCCUGACACGGGUGCACUCACAUACAUGCAGCUACUGUCGUGCAUGGACCUUACAUUCCCGUGGUGAAGAUGGACAGUAUCAGAUAAUGUGAGAAAAUGUAAAACCGCAGGCACCACCAUUGUGACUGCAAAGAGCCCGCUAAAGAGGUGACUGCCCCCAGCAGGGCAGUCAGAGGCGGUGUCUGCGAAGGAACCAGUGCGCUGAGGUUGACGUAAUGCUUGGCUGAUUGAUUGCAGGCACAGGACAACAAAGUGCCCAGUUGAUGCUGGCUGGGAAGGAAGGGCGGCGGGGACUUCAGGGCACUGGGAAGAUUAUUAUUGAAACAAUAGUUCAUGAAAUUUAAAGCGAGUAAGAAACAAUGGGUGAGUGGUUCUGUUGAUGGCUUGGGGGAAAACACCUGUUCGUAGACUUGACCUUCUGAUGACAUUGUCC